ACGGCAGGUCCGUGCUGUCUCGAACCACAGAAACCUAGGAGAACUCCACGAAGCACCCUUAUGCUAAGCAGCUCCCAGAGCUGUCCAGCCACGCCGGAUCCCCUCCCCCACCGCGCCGACCUGUCCCGCCUUCUAACCUCGACCCCGAGCCGUAAUGAUCCUGCAACAGCCCCUGGAGCGAGGCCCCCCAGGGCGGGACCCACGGGCCACCACUGGGGUGACUCUUGGCCUGGAUACCAGGGAACCCUUGCACAAGCACUUCCUGUCUGAGGAGAACAUGGCCACCCAUUUCUCCCGACUCAGCCUACAUAAUGACCACCCCUAUUGCAGUCCCCCUGUGACUUUUCCCGAAGCCCUGCCACCACUCAGGAUAACCCCAGUCCCUACUACUCUGCGUCCCCAGCUGGGGAGAUCAUGGAGCUCUGAGUGUCGAUGACCUGUGUCCCUCCCCACCUUCUUCCUGACUAUAGAGACCAGCAACU
rnacentral:lncRNA from 1 species